GUUCGCAUGUUUGUUUGCAGCGACAAAAGAUUGAGGAAUGGAUGCGAACCGCGUAUGCAGACGUUCCUUCGGUUGAUUGUUCUUUUUCCGUCUCACUCAUCGAGCAUUCAUGACUUGGCUCAGCCUUCACUGUAAUGCUGCACGCCCCGUGCGAGUUCUGUCCUGCAGGAACAUGGAGGUGCACCCGGAGCAGGGAAAAUAACAGCGCUCGUGAGUACCAUUUCUGCUGUAGACAUGCGACCCGUGUUCCCGCAGAUUCUCGAAACACAUAGUGAGACGCUUUACCGAGUUCAAGCGUCGCGCCUGCAACGAUUGAUAUCCCAUUGCAUGCCACUUCUCGUCAGCUGCUUAUCUCGCACAGACUGCUGACUCGACCCAAUACAGCCAGCGAGAUUCAUGCAGAUGCGGAGGUCCAGAGAACUAUAGACGUGCGACUACAUCCUCCCUGUAGUCGCUCGAUGUGCUUUGAAGAGUUACUAGUUAUCUUAAACUCGAAUUUCUAGAUGCAUGCUAGGCCGUCUGUCGUGCACCGUCAAGUGGCUGUGUUGUUGCGACUGUUUUUGUGAUCGGUUUCAUCCUGAGGGUGUGCUGAACAUCAUAGGCUCGGCUCGAAGGAAUCCGUACCCGGGGACUGAAUCGUGUUCGCGCAUGCCCUAUCAUAUGCAGAAAAAUGUGUGGAGGAAUAAUGUUGCGUAGCGUUUAAGCCAGAAUGACUCAGGCACUAAUGAUGAAUUCCUUUUCAAUUUUUGUAUCACAGUGUGACCAAGUCGACGAGGAUGACGUCCGACAGGCGGCUUCGACUGUGGAGUAUAUGCCGGUCGGCGGAUCUUUGUUGUCGCUGUCCGUUGAAUCAGGCAGGCGGGGGGCGCCCACUACACUACUUGUCGUGCUGCUUGGUUCCACUGUCACCGCUAUACUCAUAGUGGGAGUUGUCGCGCGUAUGUACUUUGGGGAGCUCUUUUAAGUUUCCGAAGAGCCUGCCGAUGCGUGAGAUUGCUGAAUCGAGAGCCUAACCUUUGACUUCGGAACGUCUUACAACUCGGAAGUUUUCAUCUUUGUGUGCAGGCUACCAAAGAAAAUCGGCCAGAGACAAUCUGGAAAACGAAAGUGCUUUCUCAGUGGCUUCGCGUCCACGAGCGGUGCUGACUCCUGCGCGAUGGGCAGUGUCCUGUUCCCAUUAGCUUUGGUCUACUCCUGCCCAUAAUAGCAACAGUUGCGCGCCGCCUCAGCAUUUGCUAUCGAUCGAGACGAUACCGAGCGCUGAUGUUGGAAGCAGGAGACUGACAUGCGAGCGGCACGUGCGCUAGGUUUAGAACGUCGUGAGACAGUUCGGUUCGUAUCCGAUAUAAACGUGGCUACUGGCCUAGCAAUGGUUGCCAUCGCUAUAACGGUUUACCUGAUUACCGUAAGCGCCGAAUGUGGACAGAAUGGGCCUCUUUGACUCCUAUUGCCUGAAAGUCUAUUUCCAAAAAGACGGCUCCUGUCAUCAAAAUCCCCGUCUGCCAGAUAUGGAACACAGUGGCGGUCGCCAGAGUGAUAGUCUGUUGCUGCUGCAGUUUCACUGGUCAAAAAAGCUUUCAACGUGAGAGCAAUGCGUACAGGGAGAAGAUUCGCUGAGAGGGUCAUGGCAUUUGAGUGACACGUCAUCAUGCCAUACCAGCUACUUUUUCGACCACUUCGCGCCAUGGAUCUGCAACUACCGUUCCUCUUGUGCUUCUAUGAACUCUACCAGAGCCUUGUGCACAGACCAUCAUCGACUGUAUCUGACUGUCUCCACGACUCCAUCCCAACCCUUGUAACGGUGUGACAGCACUUCGCAUUUUUGCAAAGUCUUACCUUUCAUUAUCUUCUAAAAUACCACUUGGAUGUCUAGGUGUAUCAACAGAGAAAGACAUGUGUGGCGAUAGAGCAACAAGAAACUGUAAUUCCGGUGGUACAGUCCCUUCGAGUGAGUCUUGUUGUCUUCGCGGGUAGCCGCCUGUUGAGGGCGACAGAAGAGGGAGAUGCAGACAGUAUGCACCCGUCGCUCGCCAGCGUGCUGAAGGUGAAGUCCAUCUCCCCAAUCUGAUGCAAGACAUCUACUCGCGGUAACUCCAUGCACUACAGAGUGCCGAAGAGAUUCCAGCUCAGCGAGAACGCCAGGGUGAUAUGAAGCGUUCUCCUGCGAACGUCCGACAACGCCCACAGUGGGCUGCAUUUUUGGCAAAAGCACAUGCACAUUAGGCCAACAUGGGCAUUCGGAUUAGCCCUCGUUUUGCCAGACAGCGUUGGUUAGCAUAGACCCUACAAAGCAAGAACCUGGAUAGAGCUUCAGAGAGAGAUGAGUGGCAAUAACGUGGGGCCAGAUAUUUCCUGCGGAGUGGGUGAAGACUAGGACUCAUGUGAGUCUUUGUAUGUAAAUAAUUCACAGCCUCAGUGGGGGACAGAAUUUGACUGCGGCGGUGGACAGCAACAGACCAUGAGAACCAAUUGUACUGUAUCCUGUGUCCUGCGUGGAGGCACAUCCACGUUUGGGCGAGGCACGAACGAGUGCUCUCUAGGGGGGAUAUACGUUCGCGUGGUAGCGGGAGAGGGGGAGCUUCGCGGUUCAUUUUGUAGAUUAUGGACGGCUUCGUUGCGCGACGCGAUUCAAUUGUGGUUGGCGACAGCCGCAGGAAGUGAGGACCAUGUGUGUUUUGUUUCAGUACGUCGCGUGCGGGGGGGAAGCCAUGUGUUAGGAGCAGACUCGGGACGCGACUGUGACAGUGCGUCGGUGAGCGAGGAGUGGAACGUGUAAUGGGGGGAAGGAUAUCACUGGUGGUAGUGCGUGAGGGCGGGGAAUGGUGUGAUGGUUCGUGUGUGAAUGAUGGUCAGCCUCAUUGAUGAACGGAACCGGAUUGCGGUGGUGGACAGCAACAGAUGGUGAGAACCAUUUGUUUUGGUUCAUGUAUCCUGUGUGGAGGCACAUACGCGUUUGGGCGAGGCACAAACGAGUGUUGUCUAGGGGGGAUAUACGUUCGCGUGGUAGCAGGAGAGGGGGAGCUUCGCGGUUCAUUUUGUAGAUUAUGGACGGCUUCGUUGCGCGACGCGAUUCAAUUGUGGUUGGCGACAGCCGCAGGAAGUGAGGACCAUGUGUGUUUUGUUUCAGUACGUCGCGUGCGGGGGGGAAGCCAUGUGUUUGGAGCAGACUCGGGACGCGACUGUGACAGUGCGUCGGUGAGCGAGGAGUGGAACGUGUAAUGGGGGGAAGGAUAUUACUGGUGGUAGUGCGUGAGGGCGGGGAAUGGUGUGAUGGUUCGUGUGUGAAUGAUGGUCAGCCUCAGUGAUGAACGGAACUGGAUUGCGGUGGUGGACAGCAACAGAUGGUGAGAACCGUUUGUUUUGGUUCAUGUGUCCUGUGUGGAGGCACAUACGCGUUUGGGCGAGGCACAAACGAGUGCUCUCUAGGGGGAUAUACUGUCGCGUGAUAGCGGGAGAGGGGAAAGGCUUGCGGUGCAUUUUGUAAAUCAUCCACAGCUUCACUGCGUGACACGAUUCAAUCGUGGUUGUCGACAGCCGCAGGAGGUGAGGACCAUGUGUGCUUUGUUUCUGUAUUUCGCGUGCGGGCGGGAAGCCAUAGGUUGGAGCAGAGCCAGGACGCGGUUGUGACAGAGCAUCGGUGAGCGAGGAGUCGAAGCGUAGCGCGGAUGACGAUAUUGCUGGUCGUAGUGCGUGAGGGCGGGGAAUGGUGUGGUGGUUCGUGUGUGAAUGAUUGACGGCCUCAGUGUGAGACAGUAGUUAGCUGCGGUGAUGGACAGCAACAGACGGUGAGAACCAUUCAUUUCUUCCAUGUGCCCUGCGUGGAGGAAGCGAUGUACUGGAACGAUAUAUGUAAGAGUAGGUCGGCCAAUCGUCGACGGGAUCGGAUUGGGAGGAUACGAUGGUACGACGUGUGCGGUAUGCGUUCGGGAAGGAGUACUCUAGACGUCUUUGAUAUGGAAGCCGCCAUAUGCAUCACGGCUUGUUGAGAGGGACACAGUAUUUGCCGUGUGUACGGCACAUUGACAGUCUGGUACAUCUUGUACAUAUACCACCUAACCUAGAGGAGUGUCUCAUAUAUCGAACGAACCGCCGUUUCUCCCAUAUCCUGGCGUUUCAGAGGCGCGCGUACCUGGCAGGUGCUGCGACGCUGCUUGAGACGGCGGGGAGUCGAGCGUUUGAAAGAAAAAACGUGGUUGUUCGCUGACGUCGCGCCUUCUCGCAAAAAAGGCACAUCCACGCUCUCUCGACUGACUGUUCCCGCAGGGAGAACAAACAAGGCAAUCACUAUUUUCAUGUUUUCUGAGUGUCUGGAGAUUUGAAUCUUCACAUAUCGGGGUAAACCUAGUCCAUCCGACGCCGAUAGACUGAUCCUCUGAGUUGGAUAAUGGCGAGUUCCUUUCACGGGGUAUGGUUUGUUGGUGCCAGAAUGGCCGGCGCUCAUUGUCAAGCCAGAAACGUGGAUCGUGUAGGGGGAACGGUAGAGUAUGUUCAUUAUACACACUAGAAAGGCCAGGAUGGCGCACUGUGGGGCAUCGAUUCUCAGCAUGUACGUAGCGGGACAACGGUACUAGGAAAGUAGUUGUUCCGAUGGAAGAUUGAUGCGUUCGUAAUUUGAGGUGCAUAACUGUCCUGGCAAACCGUCAAGGAAUGUAACCAUCACGAGAGGUGUCGUCCUCGCGGGCCACCGCUUCGGUGCGUAUUUUAUGUGUACAUGACUCCCUGUGGCUCGCAGUAGGGGUCCGAAGAACGUCUCAUUCCGACAAGAGUGUGAGAGUCAGAGAGUAGAGCGGAACUGUAUCUAUCCGAAGGGUGUUUUGUCGUGCACGAGUAGCACUACUAAGCGUGUGGAGGGGGACUCCGGAAGCCAGACGUACCUAAGCUAGGUCUUAACCUGAGCAGACACGGCGGUCUCCUGUGAUAUGCUACCAAGAAAUGUCACAUGGAAAGUGUAGACCGGCGGUGGCGCCAGGGGACGCUUUAAUUUGAAUUGCAAGUUUUAUGCUGGUUGCCCAAACACGAACUCUAGCGCAUAAAGGACAGGAACUCUGUGCAC
rnacentral:lncRNA from 1 species